rnacentral:lncRNA from 1 species
GAUUAAUCUGUACCGUCCAUCCGCGCGCAAGAGGUCUCCACCGCACGAUUGAGUACUGCCGCGAAGACUACUCUCCAUUCACGCGCGGAGACUUCGCUCCUCCUCCUCCUCGGCGUCCUCGCUCGCUCCUCUGGUACUGCCGCCACGCCGCUGCAUCCUCGCCGAAGCCGCCUUCUUCUCCGUCCGCCGCCGGAGCCGAGGUCCCCUUCCGCCGCUGCCGGAUCCUACCAUCCGUCGCGGCCGGCGCUCCUCCUCCUCGCUCGCUCGCUCGCUCCGGAUUACUGCCGCCGCGCCGCCGCAUCCUCGCCGGAGCCGAGGUCCCCUUCUGCCGCCGCCGGAUCCUACCAUCUGCCGCGGCCAGCGCCGAGGGAGGCCCCAUCCGCCGCCGCCGCCACCAUCAUCGCCGCCUCAUUCCCACUUCGCGUUGUGCCUCCCUCCGCUGCUACCGCAUCGGCUCCUGUCGCUGCUUCCGCCGCUCCCGUCUUCGCCGACGCAGUCAGUGCCUCCCUCUACCGCCGCCUGGGCCCCCGCCUCCGUGCCGUCCGGGAGCAGGAGUUUCGGCGGGGUCGUGCGGUCGCCGUCGCGCCGCCACAGAUCGAGACUCGCUGUCGCCCCGCCGCAAAUGCCUCUGGAUCUCGCCUCCGCUCCCACCACAGCCACGUGAUCUUCUCUCCCACCGGCCUUCCACUAGCUGCCUGCACCUCCUCGCCGCCGCCGACCCCUGCCCUUCGCUGCCCAGCUGUCAUCACGGCCGGUCGUCCAAGCCGCGCGCCGCCAUCGCCAGCCAUCCUUGUUACACUCAAAGAAUGUAGCUUGCGCAGUUGCAAUUACGGAGCCCUCACCAAGAACAGCAACAACAGCAGGCAAAGCCCAACAGAUUUGGGUUUGGCGCUGCAAGCUGGAAGAAGUAGGCGCAUCAACAGCAUAAUCCUUUCAGUUUUGGGAUACAAGAUGCGAGUGCUCAGUCACGAAAUGCUCUUGGCCAAUCAAAGAGAAUGGCAGAUUUCCUUCUCACAGGCAUAA